CUAAAUAAAGAGUAAAAUAGAAAAGAAAAUAAUGUAUCUAAAUUUGUUCCAGCACUUUUAGUCUUGUGGAAACUAAUCUACAGACUCCACUGAGGAUACCAAGUUGAAUACAAAGUAUGAAAGAGCAAAUAGUAUAUCAAAAGCUGUCACAGUAAGGUAUCAUGACAUGAAAGCACUUUAGGCUAGGAAAUAAAUUGAAAAGCUUGAUUAAAAGCUUCUAUAACGAAGGUGUAGCCUAGGCUCAGGUUAGGAAGAGCGAUUUCCAUAGCUUUUGCAACGGAUCAACAAUAUACAUAUCUCAGUCGCCCGGUGGCGAGCUGGUUGCCAGGCAGCGAGUUUCGUCCAGAAACCGGAGAAGGGAAAAGCAUUUACUGUUGCGUAAACCAGUCGAAUCUUCUGACGUGUACAUUAAAUAACUGUUAUGAAACAUCGCACUAUGGACAAAGAAAAUUUCUUCCUAGUAGAUUACUUACGCGAGUUUUUAUGGAUCAAAUGCAAAGAUUGAGUUCAUUACAUCCUCAAAUCCUCUUUAAUUUCAGUGCAUUACGAAUUUUUUGCAUUAGGCCCUGACUCCCAAAUACAAAUCUAAUGGCCUAAUAUCCAAUGAUCAGUUAUAGAAUAUGCCAUCUUUAUUUUGAGUAAAAACCUGAGACACCCUAUAUAUGGGAAAUAUAUUGCUGCAGUUGUGUUCAGUGAAUUCUGUGUUACAAAAUAAGCGUUGAUUCCGGUUCGAUCGCUGUUACAAGAUUAAUAAGCGCGCUCGUAAAUUAUCGUCGGGCACGAUACAAGUUGCGCACCACUGAUUUAAUGGAUGACUCUCCCGGCUUGGUGUGGUAAUCACAGUAAAAAAUCUUUCGUUCGAACGAGCUUUGGAUCCUUGGUAAUUUUGUCGUCAACAACACUCCAUGCUCCUCUGCCCUUUAAUUAUGUAUUACCAAGAGAUCUCGAAAAAUCCACGCGAAAAACGUGGCUGUCAUGAAAAACUAUGACGCUGCUUGGUUCAACGACAUUGUAGCUGAAUACGAUGGUUGAAUAGCGUGGAAUAAUUGGACGAGAUUCAUUAUUUGUAUGGA